CGGUACUUACCCGGUCGCCGGCGGUCCCACGCCGGCGAUCGCGGUGGGGGGGACUCCCAGGGAGCCCCCUGCGGCACGUCUGUCCUCCACGAAGCCCCCCGGACGUGUGAGAGUGGGGUCCUUGCGAGGACCCCACAAUCACAUGGCCAGGGAUAGCUGGCUUCUGUAUUGCCAGCAGGGGGGCUGCCUGUAAUGACAGGUGGUCCCCCUGCUGGC